AGCUCCAAUAGCGUAUAUUAAAGUUGCUGCAGUUAAAAAGCUCGUAGUUGAAUUUCUGGUGGGGGAAUGCGGUGUGACCCUUAGGGUUAUGACUUGCAAUCUCCGGCCAUCCUUGGGUGGAGCCAUUCUGGCAUUAAGUUGUCGGGGUGGGGAUGCCCAUCGUUUACUGUGAAAAAAUUAGAGUGUUCAAAGCAGACUUAUGUCGUUGAAUAUAUUAGCAUGGAAUAAUAAGAUAGGACAGCAGUGCUAUUUUGUUGGUUUGCGCACCGUUGUAAUGAUGAAUAGGGACAGUUGUGGGUAUUCGUAUUCACUUGUAAGAGGUGAAAUUCUUAGAUUAAGGGAAGACGAACUACUGCGAAAGCAUUUACCAAGGAUGUUUUCA
rnacentral:rRNA from 1 species